rnacentral:lncRNA from 1 species
AAAAUCUGAGGAAGCUGGCCGCUUCCCUCACACUCCUUACUCCAUCCCAGAAGAUACUACUUUCGCCUUCCCAUAUGGCUCUUAGGUAUUUGUUCACUCUUAUCUCUUUUAGUCCUUAAAAUGCUGGAUCGGUGGCAGAUUCCCCGGCUCCAGUAAGGCGAUUCGGGCCUCUGGUGAGGCGAUUCCGCGGCUCCUAUGCACUAAGAUUGGCGGGAUUUUUGCUGGAGUCUACUUUGAUUUUCUCUCUUAAGUUUCAGGGCAUGGAAGGCCGCGGGUUGCUCAAGGCAGCUCUACUGGCGUGCUUGCUCGUCGUUUGCUCCAGGAGAGGUGAAUGAUUAGUUACUUAGCUUAGUCCUCCUCUUGUCUCUUGGCUGCAAUUUGCUAGUUUGGGGUUGGUCCCGCUCGUAGUUGGAGCAGUCCUGACCAUAUCAGCAGUAGUCACCAGCACAUUCCGAUUUAAAAUGCUGACUCAAAAUGUGUGUGGUCGGUAUAGUCUUGUAGCAUGGUCAGAUUCAGACUCAACUGUUUUCUUUUCUUUUUUGUUCCUACAAGACGUUCAGCUUAGCUUUAAAAAGUACUACAGUAAAUUUGGAUACUGGAAAUGUUAUAUGACUCUGUUCUCCAUGUAUCCAGCAUUAUCCAUGUUACUCUUGACAUUGAUGCUUUAUGAACAAGUAGAACACACCUGACAAGACAGCUGUCAAUGAAUGCUAUGAGGUUUAGGAGAGACUUUGUGGAUGUUUUUGCCUGUUACCACGUGUUGGCCACUAGAACAAGUAGACAUUUUAGAUGGCCCUUUUUUGUCUGUACGUUGUGUAUGUCAUGUGUUAGAACUGGGAUUGUUUUUGGUUUUGGCCUUGAUAAUACUAACUCUACCCUUUAGUUCAAUCAGUUCAGCAGUAUGCCAAAUAAUCCAAAAAUAAUUAAUUAAAUCAUUGGACCGACCGGAUAUAAGGAGCAUGAUUUAUACCAUCAAAUGAAUAUAUCUUUUUAUAUGAAAUGAAGGCACAAUCUUAAAUCUAUGGGUGCAUGCACUGCUUCCUGCCUCUGUGCUCGCAACUUAAAUGCAGUAUAUUUUACUCACUAAUACAUCUUGAACAAUCUAAAAAGUAUAUUUUACUCACUAAUACAUCCUACAGCAUUGCAUUUCAUCAAGUGAAAUGCUACAUUUCUACUCCUAACCCAUUCUCUCUUUCUUAGUGCUUUUGUUAUGCAGGUUGGAAGAAAAGAAGAAGAUCCAGAGAAGAUCUUAGGAAUAAGAUAGUUUGGACUUUGUGAAACUUGCUACCUAUCGAUGAAACUGUGUAAUAUUGAUGAAACUAUGUAUAUGUAUGGAUGAAACUUGCUACUAUUGGUAACAUGUGUUGGAUAUAUAUGUGUUCAUGACUAUUGGUAAUAUGCGUUGGAU